CUUGCUCUCAGACACCCCUAUAUCUCUUCUCACACCAGCUCCCCUCUGUUGCUGCUGCUAAACAUUUUGUAUACAUUUGUCUGCCCUCUUGCUUCUCCUCCUCCUCCUCCUCUUUUAUCUUUUGGUGCUUGGGGCUCAUAAAUCCAUGCAGCUGGUGUUGUUCUAUGUUUUUAAAAUUUUUGGUCCCUUUCUUUCUUUUAAGCUCUGCUUCGUCUGUUGUCCUUUUGGUGCUACUCUGUCUCGCACUCUUUCUUUCUAUGGUUGCCAAUGCAUUCAAUACCUGGCUCUACUCUACUGUACACUUCUCCACGUACCUCUUUGCCCUUCUGCACCACCAGCCACCAUCUAUUUAAUCUCUCCUCUUUCUCUCUCAUCCAUUAGCCUCCAAAACCAAGAGUUAGAACAAGUUAGAGAACUGAACAGUCCCUCUCCUUCCAUUUUUUCCCUUCUCUUUCCCUGUACUCAUUCAAUCAUUUGACCACUUCAGAUGGGUCAUUUUCUCCACCGCAUCAAAACUUGGAGACCUGUUCGCCUUGCCCUCGUAGUGCUUCUUCUUGUGAGCUCCAACCAAGUAAAAUACUCGGUUGAAGGUA
rnacentral:lncRNA from 1 species